AACGCGAAGAACCUUACCUGGGCUCGAACGGCUAGUCAACGAUCGUGGAAACACGGUUACUCCGCAAGGGGGUCUAGUCGAGGUGCUGCAUGGCUGUCGUCAGCUCGUGUCGUGAGAUGUUGGGUUAAGUCCCGCAACGAGCGCAACCCUUGUCCUGUGUUGCCAUCAUUCAGUUGGGAACUCGCAGGAGACCGCCAGCGAUAAGCUGGAGGAAGGUGGGGAUGACGUCAAGUCCUCAUGGCCUUUAUGUCCAGGGCUACACACGUGCUACAAUGGCCGGUACAACGCGCCGCUAAGUCGCAAGACGGAGCCAAUCGCAAAAAACCGGUCUCAGUUCGGAUUGCAGGCUGCAACUCGCCUGCAUGAAGCUGGAAUCGCUAGUAAUGGCGGAUCAGAACGCCGCCGUGAAUACGUUCCCGGGCCUUGUA
rnacentral:rRNA from 1 species